rnacentral:lncRNA from 1 species
AAACAAAUACCAACACAAGACAAAUGCCAGAACCUGAAUCUCAGUUAAAUCUCCUCACUUGAACAAGUACCUAUUAGCAUUAAAUAAAUCCAACUUGGAAUCAUUAAAAAACAAUAAAUUAGCUUAUCACAAUCAAAAUAUUUUACCCUUACAAAAAAAAAAAAAAAUCAAAAUAUUUUACCAAACAUACAAAAGUUGUUACCAGGUGAAAGUUGAGGGCUGAGCAAGAGCAGCAACAGCAGUCGUCGACUUGACAACCAUGGUGAGAGCCACAACAAAAGGAAGCAAAGCAGAUAAAAUUUGUGAAGAACCAUCAUCAUUUGCAGCUUCUUUGUCACCCACAUCGAUUAUCUACAAACACUUGAAUCAUGAUCAAUAAAUACACU